CAGUCGCCACGGGAAUACGUAAGGUGCGAGCGUUAAUCGGAAUUACUGGGCGUAAAGCGUGCGCAGGCGGUUCGUUAAGACAGAUGUGAAAUCCCCGGGCUUAACCUGGGAACUGCAUUUGUGACUGGCGAGCUAGAGUAUGGCAGAGGGGGGUAGAAUUCCACGUGUAGCAGUGAAAUGCGUAGAGAUGUGGAGGAAUACCGAUGGCGAAGGCAGCCCCCUGGGCCAAUACUGACGCUCAUGCACGAAAGCGUGGGGAGCAAACAGAAUUAGAUACCCGCGUAGUCCCUGUCUCUUAUAC
rnacentral:rRNA from 1 species